rnacentral:rRNA from 1 species
AAAGAAAGCGUAAUAGCUCACUGGUCGAGUCGGCCUGCGCGGAAGAUGUAACGGGGCUAAACCAUGCACCGAAGCUGCGGCAGCGACGCUGAUGCGUUGUUGGGUAGGGGAGCGUUCUGUAAGCCUGUGAAGGUGUGCUGUGAGGCAUGCUGGAGGUAUCAGAAGUGCGAAUGCUGACAUAAGUAACGAUAAAGCGGGUGAAAAGCCCGCUCGCCGGAAGACCAAGGGUUCCUGUCCAACGUUAAUCGGGGCAGGGUGAGUCGACCCCUAAGGCGAGGCCGAAAGGCGUAGUCGAUGGGAAACAGGUUAAUAUUCCUGUACUUGGUGUUACUGCGAAGGGGGGACGGAGAAGGCUAUGUUGGCCGGGCGACGGUUGUCCCGGUUUAAGCGUGUAGGCUGGUUUUCCAGGCAAAUCCGGAAAACUAAGGCUGAGGCGUGAUGACGAGGCACUACGGUGCUGAAGCAACAAAUGCCCUGCUUCCAGGAAAAGCCUCUAAGCAUCAGGUAACAUCAAAUCGUACCCCAAACCGACACAGGUGGUCAGGUAGAGAAUACCAAGGCGCUUGAGAGAACUCGGGUGAAGGAACUAGGCAAAAUGGUGCCGUAACUUCGGGAGAAGGCACGCUGAUAUGUAGGUGAAG